AUUGAACGCUGGCGGCAGGCCUAACACAUGCAAGUCGAACGAGUGGCGGACGGGUGAGUACUGUCUGGGAACCUGCCCGAUGGAGGGGGAUAACUACUGGAACCGGUAGCUAAUACAGCAUCCCAUCGGAUGUGCCCAGAUGGGAUUAGCUUGUCGGUGAGGUAACGGCUCCCCUAGGCGACGAUCACUAGCUGGUCUGAGCGGGUGACCAGCCACACUGGAACGGAGACACGGUCCAGACGCCUACGGGAGGAAGGAGUGGGGAAUAUUGCACAAUGGGCGCAAGCCUGAUGCAGCCAUGCCGCGUGUAUGAAGAAGGCCUUGGGGUUUUAAAGUACUUUCAGCGGGGAGGCGUUACCCGCAGAAGAAGCACCGGCUAACUCCGUGCCAGCAGCCGCGGUAAUUC
rnacentral:rRNA from 1 species